rnacentral:rRNA from 1 species
UACGUAGGUGGCAAGCGUUGUCCGGAAUUAUUGGGCGUAAAGCGCGCGCAGGCGGUCCUUUAAGUCUGAUGUGAAAGCCCACGGCUCAACCGUGGAGGGUCAUUGGAAACUGGGGGACUUGAGUGCAGAAGAGGAGAGUGGAAUUCCACGUGUAGCGGUGAAAUGCGUAGAGAUGUGGAGGAACACCAGUGGCGAAGGCGACUCUCUGGUCUGUAACUGACGCUGAGGCGCGAAAGCGAGGGGAGCGAACGGG